rnacentral:lncRNA from 1 species
UCCUUUUCGUCGUCGCAGUAAAACAGCUUCCUGGGCAUGUUUCUGGCGUACGCGGCUAUCAAAACCUGUCAGAACAAUGAUGCGUUGGUCAGAAGCGUGGUCAGAAAUGGUCAGAAGGUUGUCGCCAAUGUUGCUAGAUCAACAUUUUUGCCUGCCGCAAAAGCAGAAAGUUAAAUAAAGCAGAACAAUAUGUGCACCUGCCUAGCAAAAUAGCAAUGCGCACGUCAAUAUUUAUCGGUGUGCAUACCAAAAUAUUACACAUAUGCUUGAAUCUAGCUCGAAAGUGAACGUUUAAUUAAUAUUUCACAUCUACCCUCGAACCAAGACUCGUGAAAUACGCACGUUACCUUACUGAGGAGGCCCUUUCCAAAGGAAUCGCUGAAGAUAU